rnacentral:piRNA from 1 species
UUAUACAAACAAAUGUAAUUACUGCGAA